UUAAAUAGCUAAAUCAUAAGUACCUAAAAGGCACCAGAUCUCAUCUGAUCUUAGAAGCUAUGCAGGGUCUGUCUUAGUACUUGGAUGGGAGACCACCAAAGAAAAACAAGUGCUGUAGGCU
rnacentral:rRNA from 1 species